UGGCUCUGGCAUCGAUGAAGAACGCAGCGAAACGCGAUAUGUAUUGUGAAUUGCAGAAUCCAGUGAAUCAUCGAAUCUUUGAACGCACAUUGCGCCCGGUGGUAAUCCGCCGGGCAUGCCCGUCCGAGCGUCACACCCACAACUCUCGGGCCUCUAUGCCCGGCGUUGGGGGCCCGCGCUGCCCGCGCGGCCCCUAGAAGCUAGAGGCGGCCCGGCUAGAGGCGUUCUGUGCGCAGUAAACAGCUCGCAUCAGGAACCCCGGCGAGGCCUGCCAGUAACCAACAUUCGCUAGGAUGACCUCGGAUCGGGUAGGGAUACCCGCUGA
rnacentral:misc_RNA from 1 species